rnacentral:rRNA from 1 species
AUUGAACGCUGGCGGCAUGCCUUACACAUGCAAGUCGAACGGCAGCACGGGUGCUUGCACCUGGUGGCGAGUGGCGAACGGGUGAGUAAUACAUCGGAACAUGUCCUGUAGUGGGGGAUAGCCCGGCGAAAGCCGGAUUAAUACCGCAUACGAUCUACGGAUGAAAGCGGGGGACCUUCGGGCCUCGCGCUAUCGGGUUGGCCGAUGGCUGAUUAGCUAGUUGGUGGGGUAAAGGCCUACCAAGGCGACGAUCAGUAGCUGGUCUGAGAGGGCGACCAGCCACACUGGGACUGAGACACGGCCCAGACUCCUACGGGAGGCAGCAGUGGGGAAUUUUGGACAAUGGGCGAAAGCCUGAUCCAGCAAUGCCGCGUGUGUGAAGAAGGCCUUCGGGUUGUAAAGCACUUUUGUCCGGAAAGAAAUCCUUGGCCCUAAUACGGUCGGGGGAUGACGGUACCGGAAGAAUAAGCACCGGCUAACUACGUG